rnacentral:rRNA from 1 species
CCUACGGGCGGCUGCAGUGGGGAAUAUUGCACAAUGGGGGAAACCCUGAUGCAGCGACGCCGCGUGAGUGAAGAAGUAUCUCGGUACGUAAAGCUCUAUCAGCAGGGAAGAAAAUGACGGUACCUGACUAAGAAGCCCGGGCUAACUACGUGCCAGCAGCCGCGGUAAUACGUAGGGGGCAAGCGUUAUCCGGAUUUACUGGGUGUAAAGGGAGCGUAGAGGGCAGCACUAGUCUGGAGUGAAAUCCCGGGGCUUAACCCCCGAACUGCCGGGGAAACUGUGCGGCUUGAGUGCAGGAGGGGUAAGCGGAAUUCCUAGUGUAGCGGUGAAAUGCGUAGAUAGUAGGAGGAACACCGGUGGCGAAGGCGGCUUACUGGACUGUAACUGACGUUGAGGCACGAAAGCGUGGGGAGCAAACAGGAUUAGAUACCCGAGUAGUC